CAAAUGAAUUGACGGGGACCCGCACAAGCGGUGGAUGAUGUGGAUUAAUUCGAUGCAACGCGAAAACCUUACCUACCCUUGACAUGUCCGGAAUCCCGAAGAGAUUUGGGAGUGCUCGCAAGAGAACCGGAACACAGGUGCUGCAUGGCUGUCGUCAGCUCGUGUCGUGAGAUGUUGGGUUAAGUCCCGCAACGAGCGCAACCCUUGUCAUUAGUUGCCAUCAUUUGGUUGGGCACUCUAAUGAGACUGCCGGUGACAAACCGGAGGAAGGUGGGGAUGACGUCAAGUCCUCAUGGCCCUUAUGGGUAGGGCUUCACACGUCAUACAAUGGUCGGUACAGAGGGUUGCCAACCCGCGAGGGGGAGCCAAUCCCAUAAAGCCAUUCGUAGUCCGGAUCGCAGUCUGCAACUCGACUGCGUGAAGUCGGAAUCGCUAGUAAUCGUGGAUCAGAAUGUCACGGUGAAUACGUUCCCGGGUCUU
rnacentral:rRNA from 1 species